AAUUAACAAGAACCAAAAAAAAAAAAAAAACUGUUUCACCAUAUAAUCUGCCAGUCAGCCCAUUCAACAGCUGUACUCUCCUCUACUCUAUAGCCCGCAAGCGAGAGAGUACGUACGCACGCACACUCAGGUUGCACUCAUACUGUGUAGUCUGGAGCUUUCCUUGCUGCAUUUGGUGCAAUCCAGCAACACCGUAACUGAUGACAGCGUGACGGGAACGCCAUUUGAAUAGUGUGAGGACAUGAACCAAGCUGAAGUAAUGUCUCUCCUGGCCAGUGAGUGUGAUGAAUGGGGACGAAUCUACCCACUUCUCAGCCGCUUGGCAGCAGUCGCUCAGGUCAUUCCAGUCCCCAGUGUCAACUGUGAGAGAGACUUUUCCACGAUGAACAGGGCAAGGGGCAGGACUGGAGAUGCUGAGAGGUCAAAUCAGACGUCUGGAACAGACUGUAAGGAGAACACCUUGCUGCCUGCCUGAGGGUCUCAAUAAAUGGGCCAAGCCCUGAAGAGUUCAAUUUUGGGAAAGCUGUGAAACCGUUUUUCACCAAGCCUACAAAAAUUAGGUGUCCAAAGGCAGGGUGCAGAGUGUGUCAGUAGUGUGUCAGUGUCAAGCUGCCUGAGUCUUAGUUAACUAUUGGUGCAGCAUGCACGUGCUAAGGUUAUGGACAGCAAAUGUACAAAGUGUCCUUUGUUCAUUGUUUUGUUUGAUAGUUUGAAGAUGGUUCACAUGAUCGAUGUUAAGUUUAAUCUUAAAGCUCUAAAUGAAUGAACAAAUGAAAGAACAACUGAAUGAAUGAAUGACUUUGUGUCACUGUUUUAUUUUUCAAGAUUAAAUUUGA